rnacentral:rRNA from 1 species
AGAUAAGUGCUGAAAGCAUCUAAGCACGAAACUUGCCCCGAGAUGAGUUCUCCCUGAGACUAUAAGUCUCCUGAAGGAACGUUAAAGACGAUGACGUUGAUAGGCCGGGUGUGUAAGCGCAGCGAUGCGUUGAGCUAACCGGUACUAAUGAACCGUGAGGCUUAACCUUACAACGCCGAAG